GAUGAAAGCUUUCUUGUCAAAACAGUUCUAUCAGCGCUACUUCAGCGCGGUGCGCCGCCAGCAUGCCGACUGGCUGGGCCUUGUGCCUGAACAAGCCCGGCUGGAGAUGCUGGCUCACCUGACCCAGUGGGAUAUCAAGGAUAUGACAGACAAGCAAUACCGCGAGCACCUCUGAGGUUGCGGUAGCAAAAAUGUUUCUGAGUAAUGGUGUUGUUCACCAGCCAGUGGGGUCAUACCCACUGGUUUUUUUA
rnacentral:antisense_RNA from 1 species